GGUAGUGGCUCGGACACUUUUGUAUCUUUCGGCACUAAGGGCAAAUAUAGGGUUAAAGAAUUUAUAUAAUACGAUCGAUCUAAUAUGAUUCCCAUCUUUUUCUUUAAUCUGAUAUCAUUGUCCUUAAUUCUUUUGUGGUAUGUUCCUUUCUUUCUCUUCUUGCUUAUCCAUCUUAGUCUUUCUACCUAACAAUGAACCCC
rnacentral:lncRNA from 1 species